CCGGGGAAGUCACAUUGCAGGGUCUUCUGGCUGAAGAGGCGUCGGGAAUGGUUGAGAAACAUCAGUUACGAGAUUUAAAUCUUGCAAUCUCUGCUGGGAAGUGAGCUGUAUCAUCUUGAGAAAUCAGACCACAGAGCUGGGCCUGCCGCUGGCAGGCUGGGUCAUCUUUAAUCACUUAACCCUUCAUAUCAAAGGAUGGGUUGGUUGUAGCAGCAGAUUCCUCCUCAAGAAUUUGCCAUGGCAGAUUUUCUCAAGGAAAAGCUGGGAGUUAAAAUGAAGCAGAGUGUGUACAGCAAAAACCUUGCCUUAGAUCAUGCCCAAAGGACUAUAGUGUGGGAUGGCAGGUGGGCCUCGUCACCC